AGUGUAGCUCAGUGAUAGAGUACUUGCCUAGCAUGCAUGGUGCUCUAGGUUCAAUCCCCAGCACU
rnacentral:tRNA from 1 species